AAAGAAGACCCUGUUGAGCUUGACUCUAGUCUGACUUUGUGAAGAGACAUGAGAGGUGUAGCAUAAGUGGGAGCUUUGGGAUCAAUCUUGACUAUUGUUUCGGCAAUAGUUGAGACCCCUUGGCAAUAAUGAAAUACCACUACUCUCAUCGUUUCUUUACUUACACGGUAAAAAGGAAGUUGGGAUAGUGUCUCUCUCUUCUGGACUUCGGUUCAUGAAUGAGGAGGCCACCUAUCUCUAAAUUCUAGAGCAAAAUGUGGUUCCAACCAUACAUGCCUCAAGACACCUAGUUGUGUUUGGUUUUCUUUAACGAGAGGCCAGAUUCACUAAAGACUUGGGUUUGGUUGGUAACCCGUGUAUGUCAGACCAUUCUUCGGAAUACUGUACAUUACACAACCACAUGAUCCUCGCCGUGGACAUUGUCAGGCGGGCAGUUUGACUGGGGCGGUACAUCUGUCAAAAGGUAACGCAGGUGUCCUAAGGCCAGCUCAGUGAGGCCAGAAACCUCACGUAGAGCAAAAGGGCAAAAGCUGGCUUGAUCCAGACUUUCAGUACGAAUACGGACCGCGAAAGCGGGGCCUAUCGAUCCUUUCGAUGAAUGAGAGUUUCAUCCGAGAGGUGUCAGAAAAGUUACCACAGGGAUAACUGGCUUGUGGCAGCCAAGCGUUCAUAGCGACGUUGCUUUUUGAUCCUUCGAUGUCG
rnacentral:rRNA from 1 species